rnacentral:lncRNA from 1 species
GUUAGAAGCGCUGGUAGGCCUUGGAGAGGCGGGUUAGGAAGUGUAGACGCAGGGCCCCUUGGCCUAGCUUCGAUCGUUCGAAUUCAGAGCACGUCCUUCCGAGGUGAAGGAACGCGAAACUCCACCCAUCCGAUUGCUGUUCGGCUGCGGGCGGGUCCUUUGGUCGGGCUGACCCUGGGUGAGCGGCCCGGAGCCAAGACUCGAGGUAGGGCCUGGCGGGCGGGUGAUGUCACACUCCUCUGUGACACGCGAGGCUCCUCAGUUACUUAGCCAACGGCAGAGGCGGGAAGUGAGAGGAGUCUGGGGCUGGGGCUGCCUUCCAGGCCCACGGGGCGGCCCCGCUCUUUUCGGAUUGGUUACCUUUGGGCAGGUGAGGUGGCUUUGCUUUGCUUGGUCUUGAGGUUUUGUGGGCGUCUUUCUAAGUCUGCUCAGCAAGGGCGUCGUUGGGCAGUUUUUAUCUUGGGCCUACUUGCUGGACCUGUGGUAACAAGUAGGCUUUGGUAUCUUUGUAUAUUUACUGAGUGUAGAAUUACUACCCGGUGCCAGCCCGGGCUGCUUGGGGUCAUCAGCCUUUCAUU